rnacentral:rRNA from 1 species
CCUACGGGAGGCAGCAGUCGAGAAUCUUCGGCAAUGGACGCAAGUCUGACCGAGCGACGCCGCGUGCGGGAUGAAGGCCUUCGGGUUGUAAACCGCUGUCAGAGGGGAUGAAGUGUACGGGAGUUAUCUCCUGUAUUUGACAGAGCCUCAGAGGAAGCACGGGCUAAGUUCGUGCCAGCAGCCGCGGUAAUACGAACUGUGCGAACGUUAUUCGGAAUCACUGGGCUUAAAGGGUGCGUAGGCGGCUGCCUAAGUCAGGUGUGAAAUCUCUCGGCUCAACCGGGAAACUGCGCUUGAUACUGGGCGGCUCGAGUGAGGUAGGGGUGUGUGGAACUUCCGGUGGAGCGGUGAAAUGUGUAGAUAUCGGAAGGAACGCCAGCAGCGAAAGCGGCACACUGGGCCUUUCUGACGCUGAGGCACGAAAGCUAGGGGAGCGAACGGGAUUAGAUACCCCGGUAGUCCUAGCCGUAAACACUGAACACUCGAGAGGGGGCUUCGGCCUUCUUUCUCUUAGCGAAAGCGUUAAGUGUUCCGCCUGGGGAGUAUGGUCGCAAGGCUGAAACUUAAAGGAAUUGACGG